AUCUGGAACUGUGGGGUCUGCAGGAUAUCACCCAUGGGAGAAGCUGGAGAACCUGAGAGAAAGCUGAGGAGGGAGAAGGCCCAUAUGCAUUGAGCCUGCUCCUGAAUUCUGGACUCACAUUUCCAACAUCUCCACCUGAAGGUCUCAUGAGGAACCUGAAUACAAGGAACAUCAAACUCAACGGCUAGAACUCGCCUAGACCUCCUUCUUACAUUCCUAUCAUCCACCAGCUGACCUCUUCAUCAGAAGACCAGCAGAACGAUCACUCUUUCUACUGUAGUACCAGCCGAGGUCAUUGAUAUAUUCCGUACUUAGAUUCCUUGUCAUUAUUUCCUGGUUUAUGUAUCUGCCUUUCCACCUAGAACGUGCACUACAUGACGGGAAAAACAUUUUUUAAAAGACUGUGGGCCGGGCGCAGUGGCUCAUGCCUGUAUUCCUAACACUUUGGGAGGUCGAGGCAGGUGGAUCACCUGAUGUCAGGAGUUCGAGACCAGCCUAAUCAACAUGGUGAAACCCCGUCUCUACAAAAAAUACAAAAAUUAGCCGGGUGUGGUGGCGUGCGCCUGUAAUCCCAGCUACUCGGGAGGCUGAGCAGGAGAAUUGCUUGAACACGGGAAGUGAAGAUUGCAGUGAGCUGAGAUCGCACCACUACACUCCAGCCUGGGCGACACAGAGAGACUCUGUCUCAAAAAAUAAAAAUAAAAAUAAAAAGACUGUAUUCUCAGCUUCUAA